AAAGCGGCUACAGCCUCAGUGUUCACAGUAAAACUGUAACUUAAAGCAGGUACAGCCUCAGUGUUCACAGUAAAACUGUAACUUAAAGCAGGUAGAGCCUCAGUGUUCACAGUAAAACUGUAACUUAAAGCAGGUACAGCCUCAGUGUUCACAGUAAAACUGUAACUUAAAGCAGGUACAGCCUCAGUGUUCACAGUAAAACUGUAACUUAAAGCAGGUAGAGCCUCAGUGUUCACAGUAAAACUGUAACUUAAAGCAGGUAGAGCCUCAGUGUUCACAGUAAAACUGUAACUUAAAGCAGGUACAGCCUCAGUGUUCACAGUAAAACUGUAACUUAGUGGGUACAGCCUCAGUGUUCACAGUAAAACUGUAACUUAGUGGGUACAGCCUCAGUGUUCACAGUAAAACUGUAACUUAAAGCAGGUACAGCCUCAGUGUUCACAGUAAAACUGUAACUUAAAGCAGGUACAGCCUCAGUGUUCACAGUAAAACUGUAACUUAAAGCAGGUACAGCCUCAGUGUUCACAGUAAAACUGUAACUUAAAGCGGGUACAGCCUCAGUGUUCACAGUAAAACUGUAACUUAAAGCAGGUACAGCCUCAGUGUUCACAGUAAAACUGUAACUUAAAGCAGGUACAGCCUCAGUGUUCACAGUAAAACUGUAACUUAAAGCAGGUACAGCCUCAGUGUUCACAGUAAAACUGUAACUUAGUGGGUACAGCCUCAGUGUUCACAGUAAAACUGUAACUUAAAGCAGGUAGAGCCUCAGUGUUCACAGUAAAACUGUAACUUAAAGCAGGUACAGCCUCAGUGUUCACAGUAAAACUGUAACUUAAAGCAGGUACAGCCUCAGUGUUCACAGUAAAACUGUAACUUAAAGCGGGUACAGCCUCAGUGUUCACAGUAAAACUGUAACUUAAAGCAGGUACAGCCUCAGUGUUCACAGUAAAACUGUAACUUAAAGCAGGUACAGCCUCAGUGUUCACAGUAAAACUGUAACUUAGUGGGUACAGCCUCAGUGUUCACAGUAAAACUGUAACUUAAAGCAGGUACAGCCUCAGUGUUCACAGUAAAACUGUAACUUAGUGGGUACAGCCUCAGUGUUCACAGUAAAACUGUAACUUAAAGCAGGUAGAGCCUCAGUGUUCACAGUAAAACUGUAACUUAAAGCAGGUACAGCCUCAGUGUUCACAGUAAAACUGUAACUUAGUGGGUACAGCCUCAGUGUUCACAGUAA